UUUGUGGUAGUAAUAAAGCAUUUCCUGGACUAUCGAAGAUUAUAUAUAUAAGAUCGAUUUCUUGGCAACGGAAUGCAAUUGAAUUGAGUUAAACGACGAUCAACACGAUUAAAGAACGAUGUUCAAAAUGAGAUUUUGUGCAGUUUUAUUAUUUCUAAUACUGUGCACAACGUCGCUUGUAAUGACACAAAUACUAGCACAUGUAUUGCCCUAUCCGGGCGACUGCAGCAAAUAUCAACAAUGCGAUGCAAGUGGUUGCUUUGUCAUGAGCUGCGGUAGAGGAACAGAAUUUAAUCCGGCUAUAAAUACUUGUGAUUAUCCUCUGAGAGACCGAACAGGAUGUAGUAAUCGUGGAUGAAAAUUUUGAUCUACAACUUCACCAGAAGCUACUGUAAGACGCAGAAUUAUUUUGCAGUACUUGAUUCUAUUUGAAUGUAUGGACAUUACUAUAUUGUGCAAAUAAAGUUAUGGUAUUAGUUUAAAUUAUGUCACAUUGACCAUUAAAUUAUUCAUACAUCACUGCCUUUGACAAUCAAUAACUUCUCUGCCGCUAAUUUAAAAUAGAAAACUAAAUUAUGUACAAGUAAAAAAAAAACAAAAUUGUUGCAAAUUAUUUUUGUAUAUAGACUAUAAUAUCGCGAGCAUCGAAAGUGAUUGCGAUAGUAUCGUUGCUCAUAACGCUUAUGUACGAUGUAAUAACGAGGAGCAAUAGGCGACGAUUAAACGAUGUCCGGCGAGUGGAUGCGAAAAUAGUAUCAUGACAGUACGGACGCGACCUUCGUUUACGCAUUGAGCAGAUAAGAGAUUUUUCUCAGCUUCAGAUAAACUCAUCCUGCAAACCGUGCUAGAAACAACGUAGUUUCCGCGGUGACGAUCAGCUUCAAUAAAAUUCCCAUCAGAUUGCACAACGUGAUCUGCAAUAAAUACCACAAUUCUCCGACUACGACGUGUAAUUGUAGCUGAACAGGAUCCCAGGAUUGUAUACGAUGAUGUCGUUCCGAUUGUUAACUCUAUUGCUUCUGGUGUACUGUUGUCACCUUAUUUCUGCUACCAAGAGGAUAAGAGUAGAUGGCAAAUCUUACACAGUGUCGGCGUACCCAGAGGACUGCAGCAAAUACGUGAUGUGCAGUAAUGGCAAAUGCAAGCUGGAGACAUGCGCGCCCACCUACGUUUUCGAUCCGGUCACCUCUACCUGCAGCCAUCGACGCAGAUCCGCCAACUGCGACUUCAGCCUCCCGCGGAAAUUAUAAAUAGCGACAUAAAAGCAUCCCUCGUAUAAUAAUAUUUUCCAAAAAGGGUUAAUAAAAAAAAUGCCGCAUAUAAAUAGCAUAUUUCAUUCAUUUAUAUCGUUCGUGCCGGUUCCUUUGUAAAGCCAGCUUGUAGUAAUCAACGAGAGCCAGAAGUUUGUUCGCGCACCGUCGAUUGGCAAAUAGCUCUGUUUACAGUCGCUGGUUUAUUGCGUCGAUUCACAUACACAUGUCGGCAUUCUUUUUAUUUUACGCGCACACACACAUGAAAAAUAUUAUAAAUUCCGAGUAGUCUUUCUUUUCCUUACUAUUCUUAAUUAUCUAUAACUUCUCCAUUCUGUUUUCCUUUUUCUUCGUUGUACGCCGAACUGAAAUGAACCUCGACCUUUUCAACUGAUAACCCUCCAGUUUCCAUGACUCAGACUAUUUGUUUUCAGAGGCUAUCUGCUUCUGAGUAAAACGGCGUCGAUCGGUAAUCUAAUUGAGAGUUUACAAGGAGUCGAGAAUCAGUGUAGUACAAUGCUUGGUGUAUUGUGAAAGCAUCGAAGAUGAUGUGUUUAAAGCAUUUCCUCGUCGUGAUCGGUCUCGUUUAUUUAGCCGUUUUUUCUUCCGCGGUAUGUGAUAGAAUUGUUGUGGCUCUUAGUGAUACAUACAAUCGCUUUAAUUUCCGUUAUUUUACUCAAAACUGUUUAAAGUUGUAAUCCGAAUGUGAAUUAAACUGACUAAAAUUAGGUUAUAAGAGAAAAGCAAAUAUUUGAUAUUUCCAAAAAUAUUAUAACGAAAUAAUACAAGUGCAGCGUAAAAA